rnacentral:rRNA from 1 species
UGGUGGAGUGAUUUGUCUGCUUAAUUGCGAUAACGAACGAGACCUUAACCUGCUAAAUAGCCAGGUUCGCUUUGGCGGAUCGCCGGCUUCUUAGAGGGACUAUCGGCUCAAGCCGAUGGAAGUUUGAGGCAAUAACA